rnacentral:piRNA from 2 species
UCAAAGGAUGUUGUGACAGGUGAA